GAUGAACGCUGGCGGCGUGCCUAAUACAUGCAAGUCGAGCGAACGGACGAGAAGCUUGCUUCUCUGAUGUUAGCGGCGGACGGGUGAGUAACACGUGGAUAACCUACCUAUAAGACUGGGAUAACUUCGGGAAACCGGAGCUAAUACCGGAUAAUAUUUUGAACCGCAUGGUUCAAAAGUGAAAGACGGUCUUGCUGUCACUUAUAGAUGGAUCCGCGCUGCAUUAGCUAGUUGGUAAGGUAACGGCUUACCAAGGCAACGAUGCAUAGCCGACCUGAGAGGGUGAUCGGCCACACUGGAACUGAGACACGGUCCAGACUCCUACGGGAGGCAGCAGUAGGGAAUCUUCCGCAAUGGGCGAAAGCCUGACGGAGCAACGCCGCGUGAGUGAUGAAGGUCUUCGGAUCGUAAAACUCUGUUAUUAGGGAAGAACAUAUGUGUAAGUAAAUGUGCACAUCUUGACGGUACCUAAUCAGAAAGCCACGGCUAACUACGUA
rnacentral:rRNA from 1 species